AUUGAACGCUGGCGGCAUGCCUUACACAUGCAAGUCGAACGGUAACAGGUUAAGCUGACGAGUGGCGAACGGGUGAGUAAUACAUCGGAACGUGCCCAGACGUGGGGGAUAGCUCGGCGAAAGCCGGAUUAAUACCGCAUAAGCUCUGAGGAGGAAAGCGGGGGACCGUAAGGCCUCGCGCGUUUGGAGCGGCCGACGGCAGAUUAGGUAGUUGGUGGGGUAAAGGCUUACCAAGCCUACGAUCUGUAGCUGGUCUGAGAGGACGACCAGCCACACUGGGACUGAGACACGGCCCAGACUCCUACGGGAGGCAGCAGUGGGGAAUUUUGGACAAUGGGCGAAAGCCUGAUCCAGCAAUGCCGCGUGCAGGAUGAAGGCCUUCGGGUUGUAAACUGCUUUUGUACGGAACGAAAAGGCGCCUACUAAUACUGGGUGUUGAUGACGGUACCGUAAGAAUAAGCACCGGCUAACUACGUGCCAGCAGCCGCCGUAACAC
rnacentral:rRNA from 1 species